CUCACUGUGAAGAAGAAGAGUUCCUGGACUCUUUAAACCAGCAUUUCCUGGACUGUGCUCAAUGGAACACCAGUUCUGAGAGAUUAUCUGUAAGAAAGGGAUUCUAGGGCCAGAGAUCUUUGGCAAGAUAGCAUACUGUAUGUGUAAAACAGCAGUUCUCAAAGUGUGCCUGGAGCAGCAUCAGCAACAUCACUUGGGAAAUGAGAAAAAUGCAGAUUCCCUGAUCCCACCUCUGACCUACAGAAUCAAAAACUCUAGAAGUGGGCCUCUGUAAGCUGUGUUUCAACCAGCCCUCCAGCUACAAAGCUGAGCACAGAACUAUGACUAUUCAAACACAUUGAAGAUACAACAGAGAAUGAAUAGCAAUGAAAGACAGUCUUGACUUGCUGCCAAGAAAGAGAAGAGAUGAUGAACGGCCGAUUUGAGACAACUACCACUCAAAGGAUUUAUAAGAAGGAAAUGUUCUACAUUACCUCAAGAAGAACAGAACAUGAGUUCAUUACACCCAUUGCAUCUAUUAGAUAGGGCUAAACUCUCAGAUUUUGAAUGCUGUCUUUGAUAAGCAUAGCUAGCUGUACUGUUGUCAUAGCUCAAGACUCAAGUACUGAUUUAUGCCUUGACCCUAAGUAACAUUCUGAAAAUGCUACUAAAUUUGAGAUCCUGAUUUGGAAGUCAAGAAUUGUGUGAUGUAAACAUAAUUUUGAAGUCUAAAUACCAGUUAUUCUUGAAAACAAAACAAAACAAAAACACAGCUCCAAAGGCUGGCAAUUAAUCAUCAACAUCAACGUGUGUUUAUUAAGCCCUGCUUUGAGAGCUAUAAAAUAUAUAUUAGAACGUCUCUAUUUUAAGAAGCUCACAAACUUUCUGUAAUAAAGGUAAAGUUUAUUCUCUUCACGAACAGGGCUCCUUGCUAGUAUAUAUGCAUUGUUUAAAGCACAUUCUUCUAGGUUAUUUCAUUCUAUGGGGACUCUGAGUCUUUCAUUGCCUUUGAACUAUUUUACAACACUGUAAAUUGUAGAUAACCGAUAGCAGUACAAAAGAAUUCUCCUCUAUAGAUAUGCAAAUAAAUUCUGUCCAGUGGAAGUUCAAAGACUUCCCUCCUCCACUGUGGAAGCAGCCAGUUUUGUGUCCAUUUGCAAAUUCAUUUCAACAUUCCUGAUCUAUAAUCAUGUCUGUUCUUUGGAUACUCUUUUGAACUGGUUAUAAUAUCUUACCAGUUCUCUCAUUUAUCUAAUGAGUUAAGUAAAAUCUUUGACUUGUUCAUUUUAUAUUUGUUAAAAAAUUAUCCUUUAACAUGAACUUAGGCUUUACAGUUAGUCAGUCAUAGAUCCCAAUCUGAGUUUGACUAUUUACCAGCUCUGUAACAUUAGGUAAAACGUAACUUCUCUAUUAAUAAUACCUGCCUCCUUAAAUUGUUGUGGAAUUAUGUGACAAGUAUUCUGAAACUUAGACACUCAUUUUUGUUUGUUUGUUUUAUGAAUUAACAGAGCCAGUGUAUCGAAUGGCUACUGUGUAACAGCAAUAAAGCAGACCCAUUCAAUCAACAUACCCAGG
ensembl:lncRNA